AUAGAAGUGAACGUAGCAAAAAAAAAAAAAAAAAAACCCAUUAUGACCUUCUCCUUCAACACGUCCACGAACCCUUCUCCUUCAACAUGUCUGCAAUGUUGACAAUGGCAAUAGUGAACGUCCAGUGAACAUUUAUAACAUCAGCAAUAGUAGAAUUGACCCUUAUAUUUUGAUUUAGUGUAAAGGCCAAGAACACAAGAGCAAUGUUGCCAAAAGACUUCCGAACUUGCAAGAAAUAAGAAGCCUCUGUGGAUGGUAACCAAGAUAUGGGGUAGGGAUUUACUAAAAGAAAGAGGUAGUUGAAGAAUCAAUGGACCAUGGUAUCGAUCAAGUUCUCAUUUAUGCGUCAGUUUGAUUAGAUUAGGUCACACAUACAUGUAAUACUACAGUAAAUUUAUCUUUUGGAUUAUUGUAAAAUCUUUACCGAUAAUGUAAGUUAUAUUUUUUAUUAUCAAUAUUAAUAUCUUU